UUGCAUUUAGAAGUCCCUUUGAAUCAUCUUAUGUUCUGUGAUCCUUUGCAAAUAAGAUAACAAACAAAGCUAUUUGGAACACGUUCAGUCAUCCUCAUUAAGAGACGCCAAGACCCUCUCUCAGAAAAUAUGAGGCCAGGUGUGAUUCUCCAACUGCUUUACUUGUUUGGCCCUUUGGGAUGCCAACAUAAUGAUCUAAUCAGACUUCUUCUUUUCAAAUAUCAAUGAAACAUCAAAAUAAUAUCUUUGCUGAGUACAGUGCUUAUGCAGUAAUAUCCAGGUGACCAUUGCAAUGCAUGAAAAAGAUCACCCCAAACAUUAAACAGGAGAAAAGAACUCUGCACUAGACAUUAGACAUUAUUCAGAGUGGGUCACAGGGGCAAGUUUUGGAUCCAACUCAUCAGGACAUGUCUCUGUCAUUUUAGAUGCUGAACUUCAAUCAAGCACAAGGUGGAUGAGGCCCAUGCAUCCUGUGUCCUAGAAGACGCUGAUAGAACACCUGGAUCCUCAUGGAGUUGUAAUCUUUCAUUCACUACAAACAUCUAACAACGUGGCUUGCCUAUGAGAUUUAUAAAGCAGAAGUUCGGAUACCAGCUGUGGUGAUUAGUUCUGUGUGUCAACUUGGCAAAAGAUCAUAGGCUGUAAUCUAAGCAGUAAUAUAAGAAUUGCUGUGGAGUAUUUGGUAUUGUGAUCCAUAUCUAGAAUCAGUUUCACUAAGUAAAUAAAAUGGUCCUUGAUAAUGUGAACCAUCCUCAUCUAACUAGAUGAAGGCCUUAAAAGCAAAACUGAGGUUUUCAGCCAACAGACUACACGACAAACUUCAGAAUUUCCAACCUCCACAAUUUUAUAAGCCAAUUAUUUAUCUCCUCUAUAGGUAGAUAGGUAGAUUAGAUAGAUAGUUUGAUUGAUAGAUAGAUAGAUAAGAUAGAUAGGGGCCGGCGCCAUGGCUCACUUGGUUAAUUCUCCACCUGCGGCACCGGCAUCCAAUAUGGACACCGGGUUCUAGUCCUGGUUGCUCCUCUUCCAGUCCAGCUCUCUGUUGUGGCCCAGGAGGGCAGUGGAGGAUGGCCCAGGUGCUUGGGCCCCUGCACCAGCAUGGGAGACCAGGAGGAAGCACCUGGCUCCUGGCUUCAGAUUGGUGCAGUACCGGCCGUGGCGGUCAUUUGGUGAGUGAACCAACAGAAGGAAGACCUUUUUCUGUCUCUCUCACUGUUUGUAACUCUACCUGUCAAAUAAAAAAUAAAAAGAUAGAUAGAUAGAUGAUCAUAUAUGUGUAAAUAUUCUUAGUAUGUUCCUGAAUAAUACAGCAUUCCAACUAUCUCAUCACCUUACCAACAAUAAAUGACAGAUUUUAAACUUUAUAAAUGGCCCACUUGAAUCCUUUCAUCUAUAUUGAAUUGAGACAUGAGUCUGACCUUGAAUGUGUCUAACCAUAAAGCAAGCAAAUCUUUUCAAAGCGUCACCCUGUGUCCUAUCGUAGCUCUUUGUACCUUGUUGAUGAAGCACAGCUCAUUAACUGAUUCCUGAUCCCUUAGAAAAUUUUGGUGUGAUCAUACAUUUGGUUCUGGUACCUGAUAUGCAUCAUUGAAGCUUCUUGGCGAAAACAAAUACUUUCUUUUCUCUAUAGUAUCUAAUUAAGAAAUCAUUUAUCCACAGGUUCCACUGUUGCCAACCACACAUUUGCAGCUACAAAAUCUGUAGCACAGUUUCAGCUUUGGAGGAGUUUACAAUGUGCUUGAUAGAGACAAACAUCAUAAACAUUUUGUUGUACUUUGAAAGGAAUUAAGAAAAAAAUUAAAAGAUAGGGCUUAAAAUAAUUGUGAUAGCUCUUGGAAAGUUAACAGUAGUAAAAUACUGGAGAAUAUAGGGAGAAGAAAUGUAAUUCAAUCAAAAAGGAUAUCAGAAGUAAAUGGAUAGGCAGAUAAAUUUGGGGUUGGCAGGAAGAAAGAAAAAACCAUGGAGCAGGGAAUGGGAGCUAAAUUAUGAGGACUCCUGGAAGACAGAGUUGCAAGUAGAGAGUAGGCUUAUGCUAAUUUAGAUUUUGAAAGUCAAGCAACUCAAUUUUCACCUGAGGUAAUAGGUAACGAAGUCAUGGAUGUAAAUGAUUGGCGUGUAAGGAUUUAGGUAGUAGUACUCAAGACGGGGCCUGGGCAAUGAGAAAGAGCAUGGAGAAUGAUAAAAAUGUGUGAUGGACAGCAAGUCUGCCAGAAUGAUAUUGUCAAGAUCCAGUUAUAAGUAUUUAGGAAAAGUUCAUGUUAGCAGGUGACAGAACACUAGAGACAAACAGCACCUGUUAUUGUGUGAAGUUGCAAAAUGGCUGGUCCUUAAGUCAGGCUAGUGAGUAUUAGGGCUGUGAAGAGCUCAGUGACAUGCAUUUCUAGACAAGGAUUGUUUUCCCAUGGUUUCUGUGGAAUUCUAUGUUUGAAAUGGCUUCUAACUAAUCCUACUUCCUACAUAAAAUAUAUUCUCCCAAAUGUGAGGCAAAUUAUUGGUGUUGUGGACACCCAUCCAAAAACUGCCAGUCAUAUACAUAUGAUUAAAUAUUAAAUAUGCUAAAUAGGCAAAAGUAUUUUUAUUUACCUAUGCUAAUGAAAGGCCUUUUUUAAUUUCACUUUUAGCAUGAAAUGGCUACAACUUAACAAAAGCAUUAUAUUGUUCACAUGAAAUGGAAAAUAAACCAUACUACUUA